GGGCCCUUUAGCCGGCAGCCAUGUUCUUAAUGCCUUCUUGUUGUUGUUGAACUAUGCUUGAAAAUGUUACUAUGGAUUGAUGGAAGAGUACUGAUAAUGAUGAAGCUAAUGCUUUAAUAUAUUUUGUUCCUUGAGAGUGUAGGCCUGGUGUUUCUUCCUCAUUGGUGUCUUUCUUAGUGCUCUUUCACAAUUGUGAAGUUCGAGAUAAAUCUUUUUCUGCUAGCUAGUACUGGGGUUUUUAGACAAGAACCAGCUGUCUGGAUAGCAGAUAGUGUAUAUCUCAACUGAGUUUUCAUUUCUUCUUCUUCGAGAGAAAAAAUUUGGAAGGAAAAGCACGUAUAGAGGACACAGACAUGCCUAUGAAGAUGCAAAUCCAAGUCAUGACUUCUGCUUCUCAGGCUCUGGAUUUCUAUGAUGUCCAAGACUGCAAAUCCAUUGCUGCCCACAUAAAAAAGCAGUUUGACCUGAGAUACGGGAGGGGAUGGCCAUGUGUGGUGGGUUCAAAUUUUAUUUGUUUUUUCACUCAUUAUAAAGGGACUUUUAUCUACUUGACAUUGGAGACCCUCAAUUUCCUAAUCUUCAAAGGAGCUUCUUCUCCCUGAUUGAUUAAGUCUCUGCAUUUGAUUGCCAAGAAGUUCCAGAGAGGCAAGUGGAAGGGAGGAAAAUAGGUACUUCAGAAUAGUAGAAGCGAAAAAGAACAAAAAACAGGUCACAGGGCAGUUGCACCGAUCUUUUCAUGUAAAUAUGGCAGCUAGUUAUCAUGAUAUUCACCAUUAUCAUUGCGCAUUCA